rnacentral:rRNA from 1 species
CCUACGGGAGGCAGCAGUGAGGAAUAUUGGUCAAUGGGCGCGAGCCUGAACCAGCGAAGUAGCGUGAAGGAUGACUGCCCUACGGGUUGUAAACUUCUUUUAUAAAGGAAUAAAGUGAGGCACGUGUGCCAUUUUGUAUGUAUUUUAUGAAUAAGGAUCGGCUAACUCCGUGCCAGCAGCCGCGGUACUACGAAGGAUCCGAGCGUUGUCCGGAUUUGUUGGGUUGAAAGGGAGCGUAGAUGGGUUGUUAAGUCAGUUGUGAAAGUUUGCGGCUCAACCGUAAAAUUGCAAUUGAUACUGGCAGCCUUGAGUACAGUUGAGGUAGGCGGAAUUCGUGGUGUAGCGGUGAAAUGCUUAGAUAUCACGAAGAACUCCGAUUGCGAAGGCAGCCUACUAAACUUCCACUGACAUUGAUGCUCGAAAGUGUGGGUAUCAAACAGGAUUAGAUACCCCGGUAGUC